ACGAGGGGCUAUCCUUUCUCAAAACGACUGCUACGCAUUUAGAAGCUUGUUACUAGGAAGCCUCUUUCCACGAAGUGGCUUGGUCGUGCAGACAAGCAUGACAAUAAGGCUGAUGUAAGUUGCAAGGAAAAUCUUCCUGAGUUUGAUAGAAACUGCAAGAUGUAAGAUGGUGUUGCCAUAAAUAUCUCGACAAUCAAAGAACUCGAUAUCGUUGCAGACAUGGGUCAAGUACACCAAGGCAUCAUAUCGGC